UUCAUCCAUCCAUCCACCCAUUCCAUCCUUCCUUCCACCCAUUUAUCCAUCUGUCCAUUCAUCCACCCCAUCCAUCCACCCACCCACCCCACAAGCAUUUACAGAUCACAUCUCUGUGCCAGGUAUGAUGUUUUCCUCUUCCAAGAAAAUAAAACAACAAGCAUCAGAUACAAAACCCAAACCCAUCAAUCUAGGUCAUUUCAACUGUAUAUAUAUAUAUUUUUUGGGGGGAUCACUUGUAUCUUGAAUUAUUCAAUUUUCCUGUAAACAUUUAAUUGUGUUAUUAGUGAAGCAUUUAUUCAGUUAUUCCUGAAACCUUCCAUGACAAAAUAUAUUUUUAAAAAAGUGGGACAACUAAUUUUACCCCCAGAGGAGAGUCAUAUUUUGCAGUCAGUGAAGCAUUUGAAGCAGGCCAAUGCUGGUGUGUCCCCACGGUGGAUGGGCAUGAGAACGAUCCCCUGUGCAGAGCGGCUGCUCCUCGAAUCAGGUGCCGCCUCCUUCUCUUGCAGGAUGCUUUCCGACAUGGCUCAGUGGGACGAGGCCUACACUAAGGGGCGUUCACUUGCUUUGAUUCCCCAGGUCCUGUCCCUGGAGGAGCUCCCCACUGGGGUAGCAGUGGCAGAUGCAGUGUUCUCUCUUCACGGUUGCUCCUUGAUCUACUGUAGACGAAGAUUUGCCACAGCUUAUUGUAGCCACACAGGGCACCUGCUUGCAGGGUGGGGAGGGGCACAAACAUGGAGGAGAGGCCAGAGAGCCUAUAGAUAAAGGGGAGAUAACUGUACUGGGAACCGGUGAUUCAAUAAUGACUGUAAAUUGUCUAUUGAAUUGUGUAUGUUUGUGCAAUGAUGUCAUCACAGGCCCGAGAGCACUGCCGCUGUAUGUCAGCGCCGAGUGGGUUCUGAGGUGCGGCUGUCGGCGCUCCUCCCGGGGCCAUCAC
rnacentral:lncRNA from 1 species